rnacentral:rRNA from 1 species
CGGAGGGUGCAAGCGUUGUUCGGAAUUAUUGGGCGUAAAGCGCGCGCAGGCGGUCGAACAAGUCUAUGGGUCAAAGGCCGGGGCUCAACCCCGCGUACGCCCAGGAUACUGUUCGACUGGAGACACGUAGAGGCAAGCGGAAUUUCGGGUGUAGCGGUGGAAUGCGUAGAUAUCCGAAAGAACACCGGAGGCGAAGGCGGCUUGCUGGGCGUGAUCUGACGCUGAGGCGCGAAAGCGUGGGGAGCGAACAGGAUUAGAUACCCUGGUAGUCUACGCUGUAAACGAUGGGCACUGGAUGCGGGGGGGAUCGGCCCUCUCCGUGUCGCAGCUUACGCGUUAAGUGCCCCGCCUGGGGAGUACGGCCGCAAGGCUG